rnacentral:tRNA from 1 species
AAAUAGCUAGUCCAACAGAAGACUACUAACUUCGACUUAGUCAAUCGUGAUUUAACUUCACGGCUAUUAA